AUACUCAUCUGGCAGGGGAGACACCAUGAUCACGAAGGUGGUUCGCCCAGGGUGAGGCGCCAUUGCACUUGGGCUGUACUGACUUGGGCUGUGCUAAUUCUCAAAAUGCUGUAAUCAUGACUGCAGAAUCUGAGGUAGCGGGAGACUGCGUUUGUGCUCUCCUC